UUUCAGUUGCUCCCGGCGGAGCAGGGGCAUGCAGCUCAGCGGCCACCGAGCCUCUGGGGCUCGCCCGGCCGCUCCUCGCGCUCCCAGACGCCUGUGACGCCUGUUGGGGCCAAGCUGCUGCCGUUCCCUCCGCAGACAGACGCGCCGCGCCAGCCUCACGAGCCCUGCACCAACUUCUGCCCGACAAGCCCAACUUCUGCGCCGGGUUCGGACUUGCGGAGCCGGAACGGCGCACCGCGCGCAGCCCGGGCGGCGGCCAGGGCGGAUCAGCCUCGCCGAGAUGUCCUCGCGACUGUGGCUCUGGUGCUUCUGCCUGGGCGGUUGCCGGCUGGCCGCCAGGAAGCGCCCUACAGCUCCGGCUGGGCAUGCCAAGUGUUUGUGAAGAACAGCAAGUGACUGUGGUUGGACUUGCACACCCAUGUGUUUGGGCAUUCACACACAUUGUCAAGCUCUGCAAACAAGGCUGUACUGGCUCAAGUUGGUAUGUGAGCUAUGAAAGAAGGUCCUCUUUUCCGUCUUCUCAUUCCUGUGGAUCUGUCCUGUAGCCUUUCCACGCUAUCCUCAGGCUCAUCUGUUUUCUGAAGAUGGGAAAAGCCCUUUGGA
rnacentral:lncRNA from 1 species